rnacentral:ncRNA from 2 species
GCCACGCCAGCGUCUGACAGACUGCGAUCGGCGACUGGAGAGGAAUCCGGUGAGAAUCCGGAGCGGUCCCGCCACUGUGAACCACCCCAGGCCGAUCGGGGUGGCAGUCAGAACGUCUCCCGUCACCACCGCACUCCU